AUGGCGGGCGAUCCGACCGGCGGCGGCGGCGGCUCCGCGGCGGGCAAGGGUCCCCGCUCGUCGACGCGGCACCAGCAGUUCCGCGACCGCGCCAAGACCCGCGUGGACGACCUCCAGGAGAUCUUCUCCGGCCUCCAGUCCGCCCGCAAGGAGAGCCGCUCCGCCGACGCCGCCGUCCUCGAGGAGCAGGUCCACCAGAUGCUCCGCGAGUGGCGCGCCGAGCUCAGCGUCGCCUCCCCCGCCUCCUCCCUGCAGAACUCGCUGGGGAACAACCAGGGUGCCGCGGAUCCGCCGUCGGAGACGCUGCGGCUGCUGCAGCUGGCGAUUGAGGAGGAGGACGACGCCACCAGCAAGCUGGCGCAGCCGAUGCAGCCCUCCCGGCAGGAUGGUCAUCAGAAUCUCAACCCCGGACUGCAAGUACAUGGGGGGACUGUGGAUGGCGGCGCCGACGCGUCACAGCAGUCAAUGGGUCAUGGAAUGCAGGGAGAAUUAGCCGAUGUUGCUAAUGCAUUGUUCAGUGAUCAGAUGUACUAUAUAGACCAUGAACUGAGUAUUGAUGAUUUUCUUCAUGGGUCAAACCCAGAUGGCCUCAAUAACCUGCAAGGGACUGACUUGCUCACAACAGUCGGCCCGUCGCCUUCUCAAUAUUUGGGGCCAAAAUGUGCACUCUGGGAUUGUGGUCGACCUGUGCGAGGAUCAGAAGAGUGUCAAGACUACUGCAACCCGUAUCAUGCUGGUUUAGCUUUGAGUGAUGAUGGUCUUCUGGGGACAAGGCCUGUGAUGCGUCCAAGGGGUAUUGAUUUGAAAGAUGGGCCCCUAUUUGAUGCUCUUUGUGCAAAAGUCCAAGGAAAAAAUGUUGGUAUUCCUGUCUGUGAAGGGGCUGCAACGUCAAAAUCACCUUGGAAUGCACAUGAACUUUUUGAUCUUUCUCUUCUUGAGGGUGAAUCUCUUAGGGAAUGGUUAUUCUUUGACAGACCAAGAAGGGCAUUUGAGAGCGGCAACCGCAAGCAAAGGUCGUUGCCAGAUUACAACGGCCGUGGAUGGCAUGAAUCAAGGAAGCAAGUGAUGAAGGACUUUGGGGGCCUGAAGAAAUCCUAUUACAUGGACCCACAACCAUCCAGCAACUAUGAGUGGCACCUUUUCGAAUAUGAGAUCAAUGAUUCUAACACUCUAGCCUUGUACCGGCUUGAGUUCAAGGCAUCUGAUCCUAAAAGGAGUGUUAAAUCAAAACUGGGCAGCAGUUCACUCAACGAAAUCCAGCAGCAAAUGGUCAAGCUUAGUGCAAACAGUCCGGUGGACAACAAGCGGGGUGCUAGGAGCAAGACAAAGGCUAGUCAAAAGGACACCAAUGCGAAUGCAUAUCCAGCUCUCAAGGCCACCAAUCAAGCGGGUGCUUCAAAUGCUUAUGAAGCAGUGCCCCUCAACAUCCCCAAUCAGGCCAGUGCCCCCAGCGCUUACCAAACAGUGGCUCCCAACAUCCCCAAUCAGGACAGUACCUCGAAUGCCUAUGAAGAUGCAUCACAGGUGGACCCGAUGUCAUAUCUGAAUGAAAACGUUGUCUAUGGACCUCAUCUUCCAUAUGGUUACCCCGAUGGAAAAGGCGACUUCUACUGGAACCCCAGUGGCGGCGCCUGA
rnacentral:rRNA from 1 species